CAGUAGCCGCGGGAAUACGUAGGUGGCAAGCGUUGUCCGGAAUUAUUGGGCGUAAAGGGCUCGCAGGCGGUUUCUUAAGUCUGAUGUGAAAGCCCCCGGCUCAACCGGGGAGGGUCAUUGGAAACUGGGAAACUUGAGUGCAGAAGAGGAGAGUGGAACUCCACGUGUAGCGGUGAAAUGCGUAGAGAUGUGGAGGAACACCAGUGGCGAAGGCGACUCUCUGGUCUGUAACUGACGCUGAGGAGCGAAAGCGUGGGGAGCGAACAGGAUUAGAUACCCCCGUAGUCCCUGUCUCUUAUAC
rnacentral:rRNA from 1 species